AACGAACGCUGGCGGCAGGCCUAACACAUGCAAGUCGAACGCCCUAGCAAUAGGGAGUGGCAGACGGGUGAGUAACGCGUGGGAACCUUCCCAGUGGUACGGAAUAACUCAGGGAAACUUGAGCUAAUACCGUAUACGCCCGAAAGGGGAAAGAUUUAUCGCCAUUGGAUGGGCCCGCGUCGGAUUAGCUAGUUGGUGGGGUAACGGCCCACCAAGGCUACGAUCCGUAGCUGGUCUGAGAGGAUGAUCAGCCACACUGGGACUGAGACACGGCCCAGACUCCUACGGGAGGCAGCAGUGGGGAAUAUUGGACAAUGGGCGCAAGCCUGAUCCAGCCAUGCCGCGUGAGUGACGAAGGCCUUAGGGUUGUAAAGCUCAUUCGGCGGGGAAGAUAAUGACGGUACCCGCAGAAGAAGCCCCGGCUAACUCUGUGCCAGCCGCCGCCGUAAAAC
rnacentral:rRNA from 1 species